UCUACAGAAUAAAACCAAGCUGAAGAUCCUGGUGGAAACUUCUCUUGAUUAAUGUUUCACUGUUUAAUUCACACGAGUGAUGAUUGUGUUUGUGGAAACUUUAAUAAAGCUCAAACUGUUCUUUGGAGGGUUGAAGAAGAGUCUUCAGUUCAUGGUCAUGUUAACGUGUUUCUUAAGAAGUUACAUCACAGGUGAUUUAAAUAGUGAAACCCGGUCAUGUGACGAGGACUCACUGGCUCCGUGUGUUUGCAUACGUGUCCUUCCUCUCUGCUCACACGCCUUAAGAGAGCUGAUCAGUGGCGGUCCAGGCCUCACGCACACUGGCACGCCGGCAGCACAAUGAUGAUGUCACUGAGUCUACUGCUGACCAGCCUGGGGCUCUUUGUUCAGGGUUCAUCAGGAGAAAUCCAGCUGACUCAGUCUCCUGGAUCUCAGUCUGUUCUUCCAGGACAGACUGUCUCCAUCAGGUGUAAAGCCAGUUCUGCCAUUAGUACCUACCUUCACUGGUACCUACAGAAACCAGAAGAAUCUCCCAAACUUUUGAUUAAUUACGCUUCAAGUCGUCAGUCAGGGAUCUCAGAUCGUUUCAGUGGAAGUGGAUCUGGAAGUGACUUCACUCUGACCAUCAGAGGAGUUCUGACUGAAGAUGCAGGAGAUUAUUAUUGUCAGCAGAGUAACAGCUCCCCGUUCACACAGUGAAACAACGUCGUACAAAAAC